rnacentral:ncRNA from 1 species
UUAUGUCAAGGCUGCCAAGAGGGAAUCACGUGAAAACCGUGAGCUGUCGCGCAACUGUAAUUACGCUGCUGAAUGGCAGAAACAACGUCAUUGGGGGACAAACCCUGAGAAGACUUCUGCCACGAGGCGAUAAGCCAGGAGACCUGCCCAUGAUG